AAGAAGGCGUCACAUCCCCUGGAACUGGAGUUUACACAUUUUUGUGAACCAGCAUGUGCAGGGAGUUGAACGUGGGCCCUCUGCAAGAGCAAUAAGUGCUCUUAACUGCUGAGCGAUCUCUCCAGCUAUAGAUCCAUGCAUGACCCUUUAAAGGGACCUGAUCCUGCAGGAUGCUCCCCUCUGGACCCUGGCUUAGGCACAGACCACACCCAAACACCAGUAUCCAAGCACAAACCAAACACAAAGCAAUCCUUUAUUAAGCAAAGCAGAGACAGGGUGGCUGAAUCUGAACUGGACAGAAUCUUUAUCACUUGUCUCUUGGAAAAAGUGGAAUAUUGAAAUCACCUACUGUUAAUAUUCUGAUCCCACCCCUUGGGGCCGCCCUGCGUCCUGAUGUAGAAGCCUCUUCUUAAGGAAAAACCCCGCCCCUUUCUCUCUCCUUUUGCUUUUCCUCCCACGAAGUGCACAUCCCUUCCUUCCCCCCCCUCUUUCUCUCUCUGUCUCCCUCUUUCUGUCUC